rnacentral:misc_RNA from 1 species
UACGGAGGGUGCAAGCGUUGUCCGGAAUCAUUGGGCGUAAAGGGUGUGCAGGCGGAUGUCUAAGUCGGAGGUGAAAUCUUGCCGCUUAACGGUAAAAGUGCAUUCGAAACUGGAUUUCUUGAGUUCGGAAGAGGGUGGUGGAAUUCGUGGUGUAGCGGUGUAAUGCAUAGAUAUCACGAAGAACACCGGUGGCGAAGGCGGCCAACUGGUCCGAUACUGACGCUGAUACACGAAAGCGUGGGGAGCGAACAGG